rnacentral:rRNA from 1 species
UGAGGAAUAUUGGGCAAUGCCCGCAAGGGUGACCCAGCAACGCCGCGUGGAGGAUGAAUGUCGUAAGAUUGUAAACUCCUGUUAGAGGGGAAGAAUAGUACCGGUUGGACCGGUAUAUGACUGUACCCUCAGAGAAAGCCCCGGCUAACUACGUGCCAGCAGCCGCGGUAAUACGUAGGGGGCAAGCGUUGUCCGGAUUUACUGGGUGUAAAGGGCGCGCAGGCGGGAUAAAAAGUCAGUGGUGAAAUCCUACAGCUUAACUGUAGAACUGCCUUUGAUACUUUUAUUCUUGAGUUCGGGAGAGAGAGACGGAAUUCCAGGUGUAGUGGUGAAAUACGUAGAUAUCAGGAGGAACACCAGCGGUGUAGACGGCUUGCUAGACCAUAACUGACGCUGAGGCACGAAAGCGUGGGUAGCAAACA